AUUGAACGCUGGCGACAGGCCUAACACAUGCAAGUCGAACGAGUGGCGGACGGGUGAGUAAUGUCUGGGAAACUGCCUGAUGGAGGGGGAUAACUACUGGAAACGGUAGCUAAUACCGCAUACCAUCAGAUGUGCCCAGAUGGGAUUAGCUUGUUGGUGGGGUAACGGAUCAGCAAGGCGACGAUCCCUCGCGGGUCUGAGAGGAUGACCAUCCACACUGGAAGUUAGACACGGUCCAGACUCCUACGGUAGGCAGCAGUGGGGAAUAGUGCACAAUGGGCGCAAGCCUGAUACAGCCAUGCCGCGUGUAUGAAGAAGGCCUUCGGGUUGUAAAGUACUGUCAGCGGGGAGGCGUUACGCGCAGAAGAAGCACAGGCUAACUCCGUGCCAGCCGCCGCGGUAAUAC
rnacentral:rRNA from 1 species